AUACUGACCUGGUAGCGGAGAUACCAUUACCACAAAGAUGGCUUUCCCAGGGUAAGGCUUAUCCAUGGUACUCCAGGUGUGCUGGCCUCCACAGUCUCCCCAAAUUCAGGAACCUCAGCCAUAUUAUUGGAGUAGUGGCGCGCAUUUGUGUGUGUGUGUG